CCUGGAGGAAGGUGGGGAUGACGUCAAAUCAUCAUGCCCCUUAUGCUUAGGGCUACACACGUGCUACAAUGGGUAGUACAGAGGGUUGCCAAGCCGUAAGGUGGAGCUAAUCCCUUAAAGCUACUCUCAGUUCGGAUUGUAGGCUGAAACUCGCCUACAUGAAGCUGGAGUUACUAGUAAUCGCAGAUCAGAAUGCUGCGGUGAAUGCGUUCCCGGGUCUUGUACACACCGCCCGUCACACCACGGGAGUUGGAGACGCCCGAAGCCGAUUAUCUAACCUUGUGGGAGAAGUAGUCGAAGGUGGAAUCAAUGACUGGGGUGAAGUCAUAACAAGGUAGCCGUAUCGGAAGGUGCGGCUGGAUCACCUCCUUUCUAAGGAGA
rnacentral:rRNA from 1 species